rnacentral:rRNA from 1 species
UGGGGACGACGUCAAAUCAUCAUGCCCUUUAUGUCCUGGGCUACACACGUACUACAAUGGCCGUUACAACGGGAAGCGAAGGAGCAAUCCGGAGCAAAUCCCUUAAAGGCGGUCCCAGUUCAGAUUGUGGGCUGAAACUCGCCCACAUGAAGGCGGAAUUGCUAGUAAUCGCGGAUCAGCACGCCGCGGUGAAUACGUUCCCGGGCCUU